rnacentral:rRNA from 1 species
UUGGAGGGCAAGUCUGGUGCCCGCAGCCGCGGUAAUUCCAGCUCCAAUAGCGUAUAUUAAAGUUGUUGCAGUUAAAAAGCUCGUAGUUGAACUUCGGGGUCUACUCAUUGGUCAGGCCUAGGGCCUGUACUGGUGAGAUGGAUCUCUACCUUCUGAGGAACUUUCAUGCCAUUUAUUUGGUGUGAUUGGAAAUCAGGACUGUUACUUUGAAAAAAUUAGAGUGUUUAAAGCAGACUAUCGUCUGAAUACAUUAGCAUGGAAUAAUGAAAUAGGACGGACUGAUUCUAUUUCGUUGGUUUCUAGGAUCACCGUAAUGAUUAAUAGGGAUAGUUGGGGGCAUUAGUAUUCAAUUGUCAGAGGUGAAAUUCUUGGAUUUAUUGAAGACUAACUACUGCGAAAGCACUUGCCAAGGAUGUUUUCAUUAAUCCAGAACGAAAGUUAGGGGAUCGAAGACGAUCAGAUACCGUCGUAGUCUUAACCAUAAACUAUGCCGACUAGGGAUCGGACGAAGUUAAUUUUAUAAUGACACGUUCGGCACCUUACGGGAAACCAAAGUGUUUGGGWAUC